rnacentral:rRNA from 1 species
AACGAACGCUGGCGGCAGGCCUAACACAUGCAAGUCGAACGGGACCUUCGGGUCUAGUGGCGGACGGGUGAGUAACGCGUGGGAACGUGCCCUUUGGUUCGGAAUAGCCCCGGGAAACUGGGAGUAAUACCGGAUAAGCCCUACGGGGGAAAGAUUUAUCGCCACAAGGAUCGGCCCGUGUUGGAUUAGGUAGUUGGUGAGGUAAUGGCUCACCAAGCCGACGAUCCAUAGCUGGUUUGAGAGGAUGAUCAGCCACACUGGGACUGAGACACGGCCCAGCCUCCUACGGGAGGCAACAGUGGGGAAUCUUAGACAAUGGGGGAAACCCUGAUCUAGCCAUGCCGCGUGAUCGAUGAAGGCCUUAGGGUUGUAAAGAUCUUUCAGUGGGGAAGAUAAUGACUGUACCCACAGAAGAAGCCCCGGCUAACUCCGUGCCAGCCGCCGCCGUAA